rnacentral:lncRNA from 1 species
GGCCAGUCUGAGGUGUGGGUUAAUGCCUUUCCCUUCUAAUGGCUUUUAACAGAAGGCACUUGGGACCGCAGUCCCUUCAUGCAAAGGGCUGGAUCUCUAAUGGUGGGAAUUCCAGGCAUAUGGCCAGGGACAGGCCACCUGACCCCAGGCCUCCAGUGGUUGCCUGCCAGGUAUUGGGAGGAAGUGGCUGCUGACUCCACCUGCCAUUGCUUGGACCCUCAUGGAAGUCAUUCUGUGGGAGCAAACCCUGGGCCAUGCGCUCUGAGGACAGCCUGUUGUGCAGUUGGGGUAUAAAGUUCUUUACAGACUUGCCAGAGCAGAGCUGGGAACCCAAGAAAUGCUUGCUGACCAAACAUCCUGGGCUAAUCAAGAAGGACCACAGCUCUUGAUGGGAGCACCCAGCAUUGCCUUAUAGUCAGGAACAAGGGGAUCUUUACCUUCCCGAAUUCCUUUGCUCAGAUCCCUUCUCCCCUCACUUGGAAGAAUGGCCACCACAUUCCUGCAUGUACACCAGGGUCACAGAAAUGAAGUGUCCCACAGGCCUGUCUCACAGGCUUAUUUAUGUUCACUCUAACCUGAUUUCUCUUAGGGCUGGUCUAAUUAUCUCUAAAGCAUGCCUGUCCAUGGAGCCGGAAAGUCGCAAGAAUCUUCCCAAUCUCAAGAGAUACAAACAAAGAAUGAAAGAAUAAGAAUACAUCUGAAUCUUCUUCCCUUCCCUGUCUUUUCUUCUUUCCUCCCGUCCCCAUGUUUGGUGCUUUUGCCCAUGAAUCAAUGUGUGGCUUGUUUUCGCAGGGUACGGCAGAUAGGCUUCCUACUCGAGAAAGCUCCCACUCCCACCUAAGAGCUUCAGAGCCUUCCCUUCAUCUGCCCCCGCAACUGAAGACCCUGCAGGCUCAGGGACAGGGGUCAGGCUGAAAACACUCCCCUGGAGCCCAGUGGAGGACGUUGGGGAACUCGAGUGUCCUCUGGCUCCAUGUCUCUGAUCUAAGCUCAUCAGGACUCACCCAAGACAGAGAAUCUAAGACUAAAUGAGUCCACACACCUGUCAUUUGCCUGCAGUAACGCUGAUCCCUGGGUGUCAGAGUAACUCUAGGAUGACACCCCUGCAUAGAGGCAUUUCCAAGCAGCUGAGGAGGAAGCAAGGAUUAUCAAGAAGCGGUUACCAUUGAGAAGGUAAAGUGUUACAUUAAGUGGCCCAGAAAGUAUAAAAGUACAUGUGGAAAGAGCUGGGUUGCGGGAGAUGAACGUGACCAUGCAGUGAAGUAGGGCUUCACUGCCCUGCAUACGGCUUCUUCAGCUAAGAGAGACAGAAAUUCAACACAAGCUGGAUUUAAAAAAAAAGGCAGGGUUUAGUUCAUGUAACUGGGAAGAGUAUGGGUGGCUCUAGCAUUGGGUUCUACGGGAUCAAGAGUUCAAAUG